rnacentral:rRNA from 1 species
UACGUAGGGUGCGAGCGUUAAUCGGAAUUACUGGGCGUAAAGCGUGCGCAGGCGGUUCGUUAAGUCAGAUGUGAAAGCCCCGGGCUCAACUUGGGAACUGCAUUUGAAACUGGCGGGCUUGAGUAUGGCAGAGGGGGGUGGAAUUCCGCGUGUAGCAGUGAAAUGCGUAGAGAUGCGGAGGAACACCGAUGGCGAAGGCAGCCCCCUGGGCCAAUACUGACGCUCAGGCACGAAAGCGUGGGGAGCAAACAGG